rnacentral:rRNA from 1 species
CUACGGGGUGCACCAGGCGCGAAAACUUUACAAUGCAGGAAACUGUGAUAAGGGAACCCCGAGUGCCCGUACACGCGGGCUGUCUGGGUGUUUAAAAUGCACCCAAAGAAAGGGCCGGGCAAGACCGGUGCCAGCCGCCGCGGUAAUACCGGCGGCUCGAGUGGUGACCACUUUUAUUGGGCUUAAAGCGUUCGUAGCUGGACUGCUAAGUCCCUUGGGAAAUCCGCCGGCUUAACCGGCGGGCGUCUAAGGGAUACUGGCAGUCUUGGGACCGGGAGAGGUAAGAGGUACUCCGGGGGUAGGAGUGAAAUCCUGUAAUCCCCGGGGGACCACCGGUGGCGAAGGCGUCUUACCAGAACGGCUCCGACAGUGAGGAACGAAAGCUGGGGGAGCGAACCGGAUUAGAUACCCCCGUAGUC